rnacentral:tRNA from 1 species
GGUAUAGCCCAGUGGUAGAGUGUGUGCUUAGCAUGCACGAGGUCCUGGUUUCAAUCCCCAGUACC